UGGGGAAUAUUGGACAAUGGGCGCAAGCCUGAUCCAGCAAUGCCGCGUGAGUGAAGAAGGCCUUCGGGUUGUAAAGCUCUUUUGUCAGGGAAGAAACGGUGAGGGCUAAUAUCCCUUGCUAAUGACGGUACCUGAAGAAUAAGCACCGGCUAACUACGUGCCAGCAGCCGCGGUAAUACGUAGGGUGCAAGCGUUAAUCGGAAUUACUGGGCGUAAAGCGUGCGCAGGCGGUUUUGUAAGUCUGAUGUGAAAUCCCCGGGCUCAACCUGGGAACUGCGUUUGUGACUGCAAGGCUAGAGUAUGGCAGAGGGGGGUGGAAUUCCACGUGUAGCAGUGAAAUGCGUAGAGAUGUGGAGGAACACCGAUGGCGAAGGCAAUCCCCUGGACCUGUACUGAUGCUCAUGCACGAAAGCGUGGGGAGCAAACA
rnacentral:rRNA from 1 species